rnacentral:tRNA from 1 species
GCUUUCCUGUGGCUCAGUUGGUAGAGUAUUGCGCUAACAAUACAAAGGUUGUGGGUUCAUAUCCCAGGGAAAGCA